rnacentral:pre_miRNA from 4 species
UCUUAUGGAUAAGCAAGGAAAGUGGUUCCUUGAAAUGGAGCCUACUCCUGGUGAGGAUGCUAUGAA